UACGGAGGGUGCAACGUUGCUCGGAAUCAUUGGCGUAAAGCGCACGUAGGCGGUCCGGAAAGUCGGGGUGUGAAAUCCCUCGGCUCAACCGAGGAAGUGCAUUCGAAACUUCCGGACUUGAAUAUGGAAGAGGGUCGCGGAAUUCCCGGUGUAGAGGUGAAAUUCGUAGAUAUCGGGAGGAACACCAGUGGCGAAAGGCGGCGACCU
rnacentral:rRNA from 1 species